UUGAAUCAUCAGCAUCUGAAAAUGAACGCAAAUGCAUUCAUGGCAUUCUGGCUUCGUGGAGCCAUCAUGGUAAAACACAAACAAAGAUUGUUUUGGCCAUGCUUGUGAAUAGUGGUACAUAUUAAUUUGAAUUGUUUCUUAGCACAAAGUUUUCUUCAAAUCAUUACAAAAGCCUAUUUUAUUUGGUUGAAGUGUCCAAUUUGGGAUGUCAAUGAUUACCCAUCCAUCCCAGGACCCUAACACACCCACAAGAAAGAAAUAAAAAGGAAAAUGAAAAUGAAAGAACAAGGAAACACAUGCAAUGUGCCGCAGAACUGACAUAUUUUUCGUUGGGCUGGCCAAUGCGUGAUGAUGGAGAAUUUUUCAACUCAAUCUGUGAAGCUGUUAAGGUGAACUUUAAAUCUUGUUGGAUACAUGCAUUUCAAUAAAAUAUGGACCACAAAGGUUUCAAAUAAUAUCAUGCUUAAUAAUUUCCCAAUUUGUUUUUAAAAAAGAAUUAAAGCCAUUGAUUCCUUGGCCAUUAUUGUAUGAACUGUUAACAUGGCUUGGUUAAUUUACAAAAUCUUUUUUGACUACUUGUAAUUUAGCAUGAACACCAUGUUUACAUAAAGGAUUUCUUUUUGCAAUUGAUGUUCUAGAUUGAGAUGAUGACGAAGGAGAAUACAUGUUAAAUAUCAAAUUACUUUAGAGAUUAAAAUGAAAAUGGAAAAAAAAAUUUAGAUGUUGGAAGAAGUAAUUAAAUUGGAAGAGCAAAGUGAGCAAAAGAUGAAGAAGAGGCUACUGAAAAAAGGCUGUCUAAAUAUCCAUUAAAAUGAUGAAGAAAUGGGGAAUUUACCGUUUCUCCAGGUAAAGAACCGGUCAGGUAUGCCAACGGGAAAUAUGUAUCUAUCAAAGUUCGUAUUAUUCAUGGUUAAUUGAAAGUUCGUAUUAUUAUAGGAAAAUCAGUGAAAGUUCGUAUUAUUCAGAGUAAUUUUUCCUGAAUUAUAUCGGUCUCUUGAUCAUUUUGUCUUGAUCAAUUUUUCGCGCAAUUAGUUUAUGUAUUAACUAUUUACUGAGAUGUUGCAAUUUCGAAACCUAGGAUCUAGUGAUAUUUGGAGAAAUUGUGCUUAUUUCCAGAUUUGAAACUAAUACUGCAAGUCUGCAAUGCAAAGAAUGGAAGUGGUUAGUAGAAUUAAUUGAGGUCAAUCAAUACAGCUGACGAAUUGUUGCUGGAAAAGAGAAAAAUGGCGCUUAUUUUAUAUAUCAUCAUUGCAUUGCCGUGUACGAUUGGAGCGUUUGCCUCGCAAUUUUUCACAUAUACCGUCAUCUUGUAAAUUACACUGAACCUACUUUCCAGAGAUAUAUUGUCCGUGUCAUUUUCAUGGUUCCGGUUUAUGCAUUGAUGUCUUUCUUGGCCUUCAUAAUGCGGGAUAGAGCGAUAUAUUUCAAUUCUCUAAGAGAAAUGUCUUUUUCAAUGCUGCAUAAAGUUUGGGUAGACAAAAGAUCAAGGUUUCUUUGUCACUAAUUCUAUAUGACCUAUGUCCACUACUUCUCUCGAAUGUGUGAAGUGUAGGUAUAUGAAAAUGUAUACUAUAUUAUCAUACAAAUGGUCGAAGAUAUGUUGAAAUUGAGUCGGUUACUUGUGAUUGUUUUAGAAAGAUAUGAUGAUUAGGGUCAAUUGGUUGCAUGUGUCCUUUCACUAGUGGAAAAAACGUAUCUGUUGCGUGACAUUUACUGCGGUUUUUAGCAAACGCACUAUUAAAUAGCGUAUAAAAAUUAGGAUAUGAGAAAUAAAGAUUAAAUGCUGCGGUUUCUUGAUGCCCGCAGCAAAAAAGUGGUUAUAUGCUGCGGUUUUAUGUGGCCCGCAGCAAAUAAGUGCUUACAUGCUGUGGUUUUAUAUGGCCCGCAACAAUUAAGUUCUCAUAAAUUAAACCCCGCCUUUUAGCGUUCCAUUUUCAUAAAACCUUAUAGUACUGUUGCAUAAACUCACGAAAACACAAACGGUUUCAUCGUCUUCUUCCUUCAAGCUUCAAAUUUUCUUCAAACCCACAAAAUUUCAUCAUCUUCAUCUUCAUCUUGCUAUUGUCUUCACACACGCCUUUAACUUGAUGCUGUAAUCAUCUUGGUACUGUCUUCGUUUCAUUUCUUUAAGGCUCCAUUGUUUGCUUAAAAAACCCACGAAAAAAAUUGCUUCUUCUUCACUGUCUUCAUUCUUCUUCAUUUGCUUUAAAACCCCACGAAAGAGGUCAAGGUAUUUUGUUUGGUUUUUGUUUUUUGUUUCUUUUUUUUUUUGAGAAAUGGUUACAAUUACUAAUUUUGUUUUUCUUGUU